rnacentral:tRNA from 1 species
AAGGGAGACCUAAUUCAGGUAUGGGACGAAAAAAAAGCAGUCGCUACCAAGAAUCAAUCCCAAAAGGUCGGAGCGAGGUAUGAGGCUUUCAAACUAGGUUCUGGGUUCAAACAAGACCUGAAUCAGGAACAAGGGCUAUUAGCUCAGGUGGUUAGAGCGCACCCCUGAUAAGGGUGAGGUCCCUGGUUCGAGUCCAGGAUGGCCCACCUGCACAGGUGGCAAAAACAAGAGAAGCUCCGAAUCAGCACCUUAUCUUAUCUAUAUAUAAGAGAGAAUGCUGGCUCUGAGUACAGAGUCCAGAGGAACCUUGAAAACUGCAUAGAGCUAGGUGAAAAAGCCAAAAAAGAAGACCGCAA